GCAGACACAUUCCAGCCAAUCAGCAGCAGACCCUCCCUCCCAGACCCUCCCACCUCCUGGACAGCAUCCAUUGUGAAGCUGCAUUCUUAGUGAGCUGUCCAGAAGGUGGGAGGGUCUGGGAGGGAGGGUCUGCUGCUGAUUGGCUGGAAUGUGUCUG
rnacentral:miRNA from 1 species